CAGUGGAUGUCUCAGCGACUGGCACUUUAGCUCUAGGUGCCGCACUGUAAUUUCUGUAUUUCUCUUUUUUUUUAAUAUUUUAGGGCCAUCGUAAGAGAAUCUCGAAAGGAAUAAAAUGAGUAGUCUUUUAUCAUACUUCUGCUCUGUGAACUUAUGCCGAUUUGAGGCAAUUUAAGUGGAUGAUACCCUUAUUCUGCUCUCUUAAAUAUAGAAGAUUAUGAAAAAUAGCGAUCGAUAACUCACCUG
rnacentral:lncRNA from 1 species